UGUGUGGUGGCUGGAAGGAGUGGUCGCGAGCGACAGCCUCCAUUCGCUCAUGUCAAGGAGCAGGCCUGGCCACCACCUGGAGUGAGCAGAGGGAGAUUCUAGGAUCUUCUCCAUCUCAAACAUGGCCACUGGGGAGCUUCAGUUCAAGGUAUAAUAUCCAGGUGCCCAUCAGGAAGAUCGGUAGCCCAAUGUGACUGUCUUCUAUCAAGUGGGAGAUCUGGGCCCUGCUGGGUACAGAGGAGGAGAAAGCAGCCAUGGUUGCAGAAUCUCACAGGGAAGAUACUCCUGUCCUUGGCGCCCUCUGAAGUCUCUCACCACAGAAGAUGAAGGCAGAAAGAACUUUCUAAGUGAAAAGGACCACAGGAGCUCUCAUGUCUUCCAGAGCCAUAUGGGUAUGAGCAAGGGGGGACCAGGAGAGAGGCUUCGGGCCACCACGCAAGAGGAGGCUGCCCGUGGACGUGACUGAUUCCCGUGGCUGGAAACAAGGUACAACCAGUGCAACAGAAAUACCCUUCCAUUAAGGAAAAAAUGAAACAAGAUGGGAUCAGGAGGGAGACAAACCAUAAAAGACUUUUAAUCUCACAAAACAA